CUUGCAUCACAUUCAUAGGUGCAUCCAAAGUCUUUCACAGGCAUCUGUCCCGUCUUUUCCUGUUCUCAGCAUGCUUUGCCAUCAUCGUUGAGUCCAUUAUUAGGAUUUGUAAUUGUCCAAUCACAUCUUUCUCAUGUAUAAUCGGUUUUUGGAAUGAUCUCAAUAGGUUCCUUGUGAAAUACCAGUGUAGGUCACAUUAGCAAUCAUUUCACUGUGAGCUAUGUGUCUCUUUUGAGAUAGUUCUUGGAGGUAGUCCUCACGAUCAAAG